UAACAGGCUUCAUUAGAAGCCACACUCUCAGUUAAAGGCUGAGAAG
rfam:Colinus virginianus strain Texas jcf7180006226225, whole genome shotgun sequence.